rnacentral:pre_miRNA from 1 species
GAGAUGCCCCUAAGGAGCAGGACUUGCUUCAGUUAGGCUUUGGUGCUCACUGAGUCUGUCCCUUGAGUGUGUUGCU